rnacentral:tRNA from 1 species
UCCUUGGUGGUCCAGUGCUAAGACCCUGCGCUCCCAAUGCAGGGAGUCCAGGUUCAAUCCCUGGUCAGGGAA